GUCCAUAUCUAUAUCACCCCGCAGCCCAAGACUGGUUAUUUACUGAAGCUAAGCAGAGCUGAUCAUGGUUAGUACCUGGAUGGAAGACCACAUGGGAAAACUAGGUUGCUGUUGGAA
rfam:Danio rerio chromosome 25, GRCz11 reference primary assembly.